CAGCAGCCGCGGUAAGACAGAGGAUGCAAGCGUUAUCCGGAAUGAUUGGGCGUAAAGUGUCUGUAGGUGGCUUUUCAAGUCCGCCGUCAAAUCCCAGGGCUCAACCCUGGACAGGUGGUGGAAACUACCAAGCUGGAGUAUGGUAGGGGCAGAGAGAAUUUCCGGUGGAGCGGUGAAAUGCAUUGAGAUCGGAAAGAACACCAACGGCGAAAGCACUCUACUGGGCCGACAUUGACACUGAGAGACGAAAGGUAGGGGAGCAAAUGGGAUUAGAUACCCCAGUAGUCCCUGUCUCUUAUAC
rnacentral:rRNA from 1 species